GACCUGAUAGUGCAGUGGUUAGCGCGCUUCCUCCAGAAGAGUGAGACGCGGGUUCGAAUCCGGACUCGGGUCG